GAUGAAGAACCGCAGCGAAAUGCGAUACUUGGUGUGAAUUGCAGAAUCCCGUGAACCAUCGAGUCUUUGAACGCAAGUUGCGCCCGAAGCCAUUAGGCCGAGGGCACGCCUGCCUGGGCGUCACACGUCGUUGCCCCCCCAUCUACUCCUUCGGGAUUGCGGGGGGCGGAUGAUGGCCUCCCGUGCGCCUCGUCGCGCGGUUGGCAUAAAUGCCAAGUCCUCGGCGACGCACGCCACGACAAUCGGUGGUUGCGAAACCUCGGUUGCCCGUCGUGUGCGGUCGUCGCGCAUCGAGGGCUCGAAAAAAUUGCCGGGCUCCGGCUCGGCUUUCAACGCGACCCCAGGUCAGGCGGGGUUACCCGCUGAAUUUAAGCAUAUCAAUAAGCGGAGGA
rnacentral:misc_RNA from 1 species